rnacentral:lncRNA from 1 species
GACUGCAGCAGGAGAGUGUGUGCAUGGGGGGUGAGGGCAAGGAGGGACUUUGAUCUGGUUUCUUUUGAUGGAGGCAGGAUCCCAACCAUAAUCGAAUUGGCCAGUGGCUUGAUGUGAGACCGGAUAGAGGCAUCACACAACUGUCCUUCCAGCUGGCUGCUGAGCUGCCCCUGGGGCGCUAUACCGUCAGCGUGCCUGGCAGGGGGACUUCCAGCACCUUCAUUGUGGAGGAGUAUGGUAUGGUGGGGGUGAGGAUGAGGGGGCAUGAGAAGCCUCUGGCAGUAGCCCCUGGGGAGCCCCAUUGUGAGGAAAGCCUGUAUCCUGCUGAAUUAUGCUUAAAGGGCAAAUGGGGCAUGCCAUUGCUGAGGCUGCCCAAGCUCAGGGCUGGUCUGCCAGCCUGCUUCCUUUCUGAACCCUCCCUCUCCUAUCUCCUCUCUCCCAGUGCUACCCAAGUUUGAAGUGAUGGUGACAGAGCCUUCCCAGGUCUUCACAUAUGACACAGCUUUUCCACUGAAGGUCUGUGGCAGGUACACAUAUGGGAAGCCUGUUCAGGGCACAAUCCAGGCCUCUGCGUGUCAAAAAACCAGCAUUUGGUACACUGACCACAUGUCAUCAACUCUCACAGACCUCUGCUGGAAGUACACAGGCCAGACCGACCAAACUGGUUGCAUCUCAGCCUCCGUGAACAUGUCCUUCUUCAACCUGG